GACGUAGGGCGCGAGCGUUGUCCGGAUUUAUUGGGCGUAAAGAGCUCGUAGGCGGUUUGUCGCGUCUGCUGUGAAAACGCGAGGCUCAACCUCGCGCCUGCAGUGGGUACGGGCAGACUAGAGUGCGGUAGGGGAGAUUGGAAUUCCUGGUGUAGCGGUGGAAUGCGCAGAUAUCAGGAGGAACACCAAUGGCGAAGGCAGCUCGCUGGGACGGUACUGCGCUGAGACGCGAAAGCGUGGGGAGCAACAGG
rnacentral:rRNA from 1 species